UGGCGGAAUGGUAGACGCGCUAGGCUUAGGACCUAGUAUUUGAAAGGAUGUUAGGGUUCGACUCCCUU
rnacentral:tRNA from 1 species